GGAGCUCAGUGGUAGAGCAUCUGCUUUGCAUGCAGAAAGUCCCAGGUUCAGUGCCUGGCAUCUCCU